rnacentral:lncRNA from 1 species
GCGCGAGGCGCGGGCUUCUUCUCCCAUCACAGUGGUUCCCACGGUUGUCUUAGAAACCAGUCUCCGAGGCUUGGCAAAGCAGGAGCCCUCCUUGGCAGUGCUUGGGUGUCGGGGAAACCCCAGGCGGAGUCCGGGGGAAGCAGCACGGCAUCCCAGCCUCAGGCCUGCCCGGACGGUGAUGGUUGGGCUACAUUGAGGCCGGGUGCAGUGGCUCACACCUCUCAUCCCAGUUCUUUGGGAGGCUGAGGCCAGCGGAUCACGAAGUCAGGAGAUCAAGACCAUCCUGGCCAACACAGUGAAACCCUGUCUCUUCAAAUAUACAAAGAAUUAGCCAGAGAAGCAGGGAAUCUGGAAUUUUGGGUGAAAUGUCUGUUUCCAGAAGCUGAAAAUGCUCUCAAAUGGAAAAUUCAGAAUGGCCUUGGGUACUGCACACUUCCUACCAGGAAUAGAAGGCCCCACAGCUAUAGCACCUCUCUUCCUUUUAGUUCUUUGGAAGGAUGAGCAAAUUAUUCACCCUCUCUGAGCCUCAGUUUUCUCAUCCAUAAAAUGAUGACAGUUCACCAACCUGGCAGGUCACAAGGAUGUUAUGAAAUCAGAGUGCAGUGAAUAGAAGACACUUCUCUGCACCCCAAAAGCUCCAUGCUGAUUGUGAGAAGGAAAUGCUGGAUGGAGGGGUUCCUGGAACUACUGUGAGGGAAAUGGUGCGAGAACUUUGGAUGUGGAACGUGGAGGAGGAGGAACACGAAGUGGGGAUCUGCACUUGGGGUGGUCAGCACUGCGGAUGCCCAGCAAAGUCACUGCCUGGUCCACAUCCCGGAGGGGUCUCUGCGCC